AUGUCCAGGUGUUUGUCCUGGCAUGAUUUUAAUGCUGAGUCCAAACCCUUACGGGGAUUCCAACCCAUCUUAGAAAGAAACUGCGUCAUCUUAGGGUCUACAGUAGGAGUCUCACAGACCUUGUUGGGGAUCAGGGGUCUAGGACAUUCUGCCCUGAGCUUGUUGCGCGCCAUCUUGCUAAGGGGGCGCCGUACCCAGUUCUCUAGGUAUUUUGCUA